UAGGAGCCGAAGAGACGUGUGCGCUAGCAUACGAGGAGGCAAUGGUGGGAUACUACCCUGGCUGUAUGACCAUUCUAACCCGCCACGCUUAGCGCGUGGGGAGACAGUGUCAGGUGGGCAGUUUGACUGGGGCGGUCGCCUCCUAAAGAGUAACGGAGGCGCCCAAAGGUUCCCUCAGAAUGGAUGGAAAUCAUUCGCAGAGUGUAAAGGCACAAGGGAGCUUGACUGCGAGACUGACAAGUCGAGCAGGGACGAAAGUCGGGCUUAGUGAUCCGGUGGUUCCGCAUGGAAGGGCCAUCGCUCAACGGAUAAAAGCUACCCCGGGGAUAACAGGCUUAUCUCCCCCAAGAGUCCACAUCGACGGGGAGGUUUGGCACCUCGAUGUCGGCUCGUCGCAUCCUGGGGC
rnacentral:rRNA from 1 species